rnacentral:lncRNA from 1 species
ACUAUUGGUCUCCUUAAAAUUAAAAAAUAAACAGAAAGAGUAAACAACAAUAUAAUGAGCCUACCAGCACAUAUUGGUAUAAUAAGAGUUUCUCCAAUUUAGAAAGAAGGGGAAAAAAAAAAAAAGAAGCAGCACUUGUUCUAAUGCAGAGUAAGCAGGUCUAUAUAUAUAUAUAUAUAAAAGCAAGAGGUAACAUUGAAAACCAACGGAAAAUGUUUAUUAUUAUGUAGGACGACGCUGCGUACAUAGCAUCUGCAUCUGCAUCUUAGAUGAGCGGUACAAUAAUUAAUUAAGAUUAUAACGUCUUGAGAAAUUUUGACAGCAACUGCACAUUGAUCCACAUGGAUCGCCAUUCCACUACCUUUAAUUUCAUGGCAUAAUACUACUACUAUAGCAGGAUAGUUCUGUGGCAGCUGGUAAAACACAGCAUGCAGAUGUAGUAGCCUUCACGCAAUUAUACACUCCUCUCCUCUCUGUGUGUGUGCGUGUGUUUCCAUGCACAUGUAGGUCUGCUGCGUUAGGUACUACGCGAUCCAUGUCCAGCCGCCAGCCAUAUAUAUAUAGAUGGGUGGAUUUAAACUUUGUGACCGACACCGGGACUGCGGCCUGGUGUGGUGGAGCGGACAUCAUCUCCUCCAUCUGCUUCAUCCAAAGCUUCAUUGGCUACGGUGGGACUAGUCACGUGAUUAUCUCGUUGGGGAAAGGAAACCUGGCUUUGCAAGAUGCGGGCGUGCCCGCUGCUAAAGUCUUUUUCAUGCAAGCUCCUUUUUCCGUCGGCAGUAUUCUUCUCUGGUUUCAACAAUGGUCUCGCCUCGCUAGAGACGAUUUCGUAAGACAAAAUUAGUGCAAGAAGAAAAGCACUACUGAGCAGGACCCUGGCCUUAGUCGUCAUUGGCGAUUGAAUGAAUCGCUACAACUAAUUAAUACAAGAAGAAUAAUUAAGGAUGGUGUAAUGUAUAUGAAUAGAAGAAAGGGAUUGUUUGUGGAGUAAAUGAGUGUUUUGAUCAAAUGUAGU